UACGAGGGUCCCUAGCGUUGUUCGGAAUCAUUGGGCGUAAAGAGUACGUAGGCGGCUAGAUAAGUCAGGUGUGAAAUCCCCGGGCUCAACCCGGGAAGUGCAUUUGAUACUGUCUAGCUUGAGUAUGGAAGAGGGUAGUGGAAUUCCUGGUGUAGUGGUGAAAUACGUAGAUAUCAGGAGGAACACCGGUGGCGAAGGCGGCUACCUGGUCCUAUACUGACGCUGAGGUACGAAAGCGUGGGGAGCAAACAGG
rnacentral:rRNA from 1 species